CCAAUAUUGAUGUGUAAAAUCUGAUGUGGACUUAAAUAUCUAUUAUAAAAUCAAAAUACAUAAAUUGAAAAUAUAAAAAUCCUAAAAUAUUAUCUCUCCAUCGCCGCCUCCCAAGAUGUCAUCUUCCACAUCUACCAACCUCAAAUUCUCAAUCGUUUUUUAUCUUCCUCCUGUCUCGUAACAAGUGAAUUUAUGAACUCAUCCUUUUUCUUCUUCCUGUUUUGCCCGCUUUCUCUUUUUCUUUCUUUUCUUGUUAUGUAAAUCCAACCAACUCUGAUGGGAAAUCGAAAAUUUACUGGCGAGCCUCACAACAACGGGUUGAGGCAGCUACGGCCCAUAGCCUCCCCUCACCCCCCACACCCCUCCCUUGAGAAUCCGAAUCGAGAUCUAUGAAGAAAUCAGUAGUGCUAAAGACUCAAUUGGAGCCAUGGUAGUCAACAUCAGAGAGAUGCUUCAGAUUUGAAGAUUUUCGUCAAGCUUCUUUGUAAAUCGAUUGAAGGUGGGAUUGAAUGUGACUGCGGGAGAAAAAGGAUACCGGAGAUCGAUUUGAUUUUGGGGCAGGGGAUGAUACGGAGGAAGAAAUAGCCGAAGAUACAAGAAGAAGAUAGUUGUUUGUUAUUAUUUUUAUUUGUACUUAUUUCAUAAAUAUUGUUUUCUAUUUAAUUUAGCUCUAUAUUAAUUUUUUAUUCUAAUGAAAAUGUAACAUACAUCUGUUGUGGUAUCUUUUGAUCGUUUAUUAUCUGAAUGAAAGUGUAAUGUGAUGUGGUAUUUAUUUGACCGAACAAACGAAUGUCAUGUUAUUUUUGUUUGGUUUGUCAUUAACGGUAUCAAAAAUUUUGGUCAACGGGUUAGAACUGUGAAAGGACUGAAAUUAUUAGUCAAAUUAUCG
rnacentral:lncRNA from 1 species